rnacentral:rRNA from 1 species
AUACGUAGGUGGCAAGCGUUGUCCGGAAUUAUUGGGCGUAAAGCGCGCGCAGGUGGUUCCUUAAGUCUGAUGUGAAAGCCCCCGGCUCAACCGGGGAGGGUCAUUGGAAACUGGGGAACUUGAGUGCAGAAGAGGAUAGUGGAAUUCCAAGUGUAGCGGUGAAAUGCGUAGAGAUUUGGAGGAACACCAGUGGCGAAGGCGACUGGCUGGUCUGUAACUGACACUGAGGCGCGAAAGCGUGGGGAGCAAACAGGAUUAGAUACCCUGGUAGUCCACGCCGUAAACGAUGAGUGCUAAGUGUUGGGGGGUUUCCGCCCCUCAGUGCUGCAGCUAACGCAUUAAGCACUCCGCCUGGGGAGUACGGUCGCAAGACUGAAACUCAAAUGAAUUGGCGGGG